CACCCUUAUAAGGAAUGUUUCGUUUCCCUCUCCAACCAACUUGAGAUCUCACAAUCCACCCCUUGAGAGCCUAACAUCCUCGCUAACACAUCGCUCGAUGUUUGGCUCUUAUAUUAUUUGUAACAACCCAAGCCCACCACUAGCAGUUAUUGUGUUUUAAAACAC